UUUGCUCUCUCCAGCUUGCCAUUGUUACACGCAGAUACACAGGUGGAGGCAUUAACCACAAACGUCUGAGAGCAGAAGUUGCUGAAGGAAGGACUUGUGCAGAGCCGGCUCUGCAGGGAAGGGCGCCAGGUAGUGCAUGACGGCCGCCAUGAGGGCAAAGUGUAACCCCAGGAGCGUCUUUUAGAAACUGGAAAGCACACCCACAGGUGCAUCUGGAUGGCAUGGUUUUAUUGUCAUAAGAGGUCAACAUUUGGAACUUUCCUUAGGUACUGGAAGAACUGAUGGCUGCCAUGCUCAUUUUACACGUUCCAGAAUCGCUGGGCCCAACCGGCAACAAGUGGCGUGAGGCCUCCAGAAUCACAAGGUUCUGGUGGAGAGAGGUGCCCAAGAUACUAAAAAAUACUUUGUCUGGAUGCUUUGAAGAUAAUGUUGGGGUCUUCCCAACAGAAGAGUGUUUUCUCUUCUCUUCCUGCGUAUGGAAAGAAAUGCUUACCCACCCUUGUCUUUGGGCCCUGAAUCCUAGUCAGAAAAAAGAAUUAAAAAACCGAUAAAAUGAAGCUCCAAGAUGACCACAUCACAUCUCCCUGCAAUUAUGCCGGAGGAAAAGGUCAGGCUUAUGGGAACAAUUUGAUAGUCUUUGUGCUGAGGCUUUCUGAAGCUGGGUCAGAAAAGACUAUUCUCUUUCAUUUUGUUCUCUUUGAGGAACAAAAGGGCAUUAAGCAUCAUGGGCAAAGUGCACUUGGGCUGGUGUCUGAGAGGAAGAAGUUGGAACACAGGGCAGAGGAAGAGGAUGGGAGAGCAGGGAAGAAGUACUUUCUGGAGCUCUUUUGAGCACUUAAAAAAAAUGUCAUCUACCACUCAUGGUCCUCAAGUCUGACCCUGGAGCAGAUGUCCUUGGGAAACUGGGAUCUUUCUUUGCUGCAGUAUCUUUUCCAAUGAACGGGGACCAUUCAGUGUCCCGUCAGACCAUCUUCUGAAUGAUCCUUAGUGGGAGUCCACAUUAAUGGCAGUUGCUCGUGGUUUCACCUUGCUGCUGCUUCUCCAGACUGACUCCCACCUUCCCUUCAUGACUCUGUGUGGACCUUGAGAACUGUGAGUAGCAAAUGCUUUUCCAUGGCAGACAUCUCAUCAUCAGAAUAAAAACAAAA